AAUACGGAGGGUCCAAGUCGUUAAUCGGAAUUACUGGGCGUAAAGCGCGCGUAGGCGGUUUGUCAAGUUGGAUGUGAAAUCCCUGGGCUCAACCUAGGAACUGCAUUCWAAACUUAUAGACUASAGUACGAUAGAGGAGAGUAGAAUCCCUGGUGUAGCGGUGAAAUGCGUARAUAUCAGGAGGAAUACCAAUGGCGAAGGCAACUCUCUGGAUCGACACUGACGCUGAGGUGCGAAAGCGUGGGUAGCAAACAGGAUUAGAUACCCUGGUAGUCCACGCCGUAAACGAUGAGAACUAGCCGUUGGAUCUUAGAUUCAGUGGUACAGCUAACGCAUUAAGUUCUCCGCCUGGGGAGUACGGCCGCAAGGCUAAAACUCAAAUGAAUUGACGGGGGCCCGCACAAGCGGUGGAGCAUGUGGUUUAAUUCGAUGCAACGCGAAAAACCUUACCAACCCUUGACAUCUAGUGAAAUUUCUAGAGAUAGAUUUGUGCCUUCGGGAACACUAUGACAGGUGUUGCAUGGCUGUCGUCAGCUCGUGUCGUGAGAUGUAUGGUUAAGUCCAGUAACGAGCGCAACCCCUAUUCUUAUUUGCCAGCACUUCGGGUGGGAACUAUAAGGAGACCGCCGUGUAUAACACGGAGGAAGGCGGGGACGACGUCAAGUCAUCAUGGCCCUUACGGGUUGGGCUACACACGUGCUACAAUGGGAGAUACAGAUGGUUGCGAAAGCGCGAGCUGGAGCUAAUCCCAAAAAGUCUUCCUCAGUCCGGAUUGGAGUUUGCAACUCGWCUCCAUGAAGCAGGAAUCGMUAGUAAUCGUGAAUCAGAAUGUCACGGUGAAUACGUUCUCGGSCCUUGUACACACCGCCCGUCACGUCAUGGGAUGUGUGUUGCACCAGAACGUGGUUUGCCUAMCCUUUGGAGGSCGGCCCCCAACGGUGUGAUAUCRC
rnacentral:rRNA from 1 species